rnacentral:rRNA from 1 species
GUCCACGCCCUAAACGAUGAUAACUCGCUGUUGGCGAUAAACUGUCAGCGGCUAAGCGAAAGCAUUAAGUUAUCCACCUGGGAAGUACGACCGCAAGGUUGAAACUCAAAGGAAUUGACGGGGGCCCCGCACAAGCGGAGGAGCAUGUGGUUUAAUUCGAUGAUACGCGAGGAACCUUACCUGGGCUUGAAAGUUAGCGACCGACCUUGAAAGGGGUCUUCCCGAAAGGGCGCGAAACUGGUGCUGCAUGGCUGUCGU